GGGUGCCUAAUACAUGCAAGUCGAACGAGUUCUCGUUGAUGAUCGGUGCUUGCACCGAGAUUCAACAUGGAACGAGUGGCGGACGGGUGAGUAACACGUGGGUAACCUGCCCUUAAGUGGGGGAUAACAUUUGGAAACAGAUGCUAAUACCGCAUAGAUCCAAGAACCGCAUGGUUCUUGGCUGAAAGAUGGCGUAAGCUAUCGCUUUUGGAUGGACCCGCGGCGUAUUAGCUAGUUGGUGAGGUAAUGGCUCACCAAGGCGAUGAUACGUAGCCGAACUGAGAGGUUGAUCGGCCACAUUGGGACUGAGACACGGCCCAAACUCCUACGGGAGGCAGCAGUAGGGAAUCUUCCACAAUGGACGCAAGUCUGAUGGAGCAACGCCGCGUGAGUGAAGAAGGCUUUCGGGUCGUAAAACUCUGUUGUUGGAGAAGAAUGGUCGGCAGAGUAACUGUUGUCGGCGUGACGGUAUCCAACCAGAAAGCCACGGCUAACUACGUGCCAGCAGCCGCGGUAAUACGUAGGUGGCAAGCGUUAUCCGGAUUUAUUGGGCGUAAAGCGAGCGCAGGCGGUUUUUUAAGUCUGAUGUGAAAGCCCUCGGCUUAACCGAGGAAGCGCAUCGGAAACUGGGAAACUUGAGUGCAGAAGAGGACAGUGGAACUCCAUGUGUAGCGGUGAAAUGCGUAGAUAUAUGGAAGAACACCAGUGGCGAAGGCGGCUGUCUGGUCUGUAACUGACGCUGAGGCUCGAAAGCAUGGGUAGCGAACAGGAUUAGAUACCCUGGUAGUCCAUGCCGUAAACGAUGAAUGCUAGGUGUUGGAGGGUUUCCGCCCUUCAGUGCCGCAGCUAACGCAUUAAGCAUUCCGCCUGGGGAGUACGACCGCAAGGUUGAAACUCAAAGGAAUUGACGGGGGCCCGCACAAGCGGUGGAGCAUGUGGUUUAAUUCGAAGCAACGCGAAGAACCUUACCAGGUCUUGACAUCUUUUGAUCACCUGAGAGAUCAGGUUUCCCCUUCGGGGGCAAAAUGACAGGUGGUGCAUGGUUGUCGUCAGCUCGUGUCGUGAGAUGUUGGGUUAAGUCCCGCAACGAGCGCAACCCUUAUGACUAGUUGCCAGCAUUUAGUUGGGCACUCUAGUAAGACUGCCGGUGACAAACCGGAGGAAGGUGGGGAUGACGUCAAAUCAUCAUGCCCCUUAUGACCUGGGCUACACACGUGCUACAAUGGAUGGUACAACGAGUUGCGAGACCGCGAGGUCAAGCUAAUCUCUUAAAGCCAUUCUCAGUUCGGACUGUAGGCUGCAACUCGCCUACACGAAGUCGGAAUCGCUAGUAAUCGCGGAUCAGCACGCCGCGGUGAAUACGUUGCCCGGGCCUUGUACACACCGCCCGUCACAACCAUGAGAGUUUGUAACACCCGAAGCCGGUGGCGUAACCCUUUUAGGGAGCGAGCCGUCUAAGGUGGGACAAAUGAUUAGGGUGAAG
rnacentral:rRNA from 1 species